rnacentral:snoRNA from 14 species
AGGAGGACUGAGAAGGUUGAGCAGCUUGUGUUGUGCUGUUAUAACUGGUUAUAGCCUCCAAGAGUAUUAAACAAACCACCAAAUUUUAUGGUUCUGUCAACAACAGAGCUGUACGUGUGCGUUUGUGGACAAAACUAAAAUUGAACAUCUU